GUCCAAUACAAUGCUGAGAGGAAAAAGGCAGGUGCAGGACCACUGUGCCUCAAGAGUCCAGUCACACCAGAGAACUUCUCAUGGCUUCUUCAAAAUUUCCAGAGAAAAUUGCUCUUUUGCUGAAGAAGCUUUCUUUCUUUUUCACCCCACUGAUGAAGUGCCUGAGGCACCAAAUGAGGAUACAGCUUUGGAAGAAUUUCAAGACGGGAACCGUCAGUCAUACAGGAGAAAUCCUGUACCUCUAUACUUGCUCCAGUGUUGAGAACACAGCACCAUGCCUUUUCCUUCUGAAAAUUUGUGUGUCCCAGGUUUUGCUACUUGCAUCAGUGAUGGCUGGGUGUAGAAGGAAAAGCAGGAGUCUGGACUAUGCAUCAGGUCCUGAUGAAACAGAUGAAGUUCUGAACAGAGCAAAAUAA
rnacentral:lncRNA from 1 species